rnacentral:rRNA from 1 species
CAAGGAAUAGUAGACAAUGGGCGCAAGCCUGAUCUCGCGACGCCGCGUGAGGGAUGAAGGCCUUCGGGUUGUAAACCUCUUUUUUCAGGGAUGAAUAAUGACAGUACCUGGAGAAUAAGUCACGGCUAACUACGUGCCAGCAGCCGCGGUAAAACGUAGGUGGCUAACGUUAUCCGGAUUUACUGGGCGUAAAGCGUGCGUAGGUGGUUAGAUAAGUCAGAUGUAAAAUCUCCUGGCUCAACUGGGAGGGACCAUCUGAUACUGUUUAGCUGGAGUACAGAAGAGGAAAGUGGAAUUCCCGGUGUAGUGGUGGAAUGCGUAGAUAUCGGGAGGAACACCAGUGGCGAAGGCGGCUUUCUGGUCUGUUACUGACACUGUUGCACAAAAGCGUGGGGAGCAAACAG